UUGUAAAUUAGAGUUUUCUAUCAGGGUGUAAAAUGAAUUUUCGUAAAACAUUAAUUUCUUUAAUGUAUUUUAGAUACUUGGCAGAGUUUUACAAAUCACAAGACAGAUAUAAUUUCUAGGCGUUCAUCAAUACUGAUAAUUAUCACUUCGAUGGAAAAAGGUCGUGAUGUGACUAUAAUUGAUAAUGGAAUUGGUGAAUGCGCAUACGACGUCAGGUUGUUGAAUUACUGAGUUGCUAGUAGUUGGUGGCAUCUACAUAUAUCAAUGAGUUCAGCUCUGGUAAGUCCAUUUCAUUAUACUUCUCUAGGAGUUCAUUAAGAAUUAUUGGGCAGAGCUGAGCACAUACAUAUAUACGUAAAUAUAUACGUAAAUUUAUAUAUUGUAUUUUCUAUGUAUGUUCUAUUCGAGUAUCUUAAAAGUCUCCUUACAUU